rnacentral:lncRNA from 1 species
UUCUGGCUCCUCCUCCUUCAGCUCCCCAACACGGCUAUAGGUGAGCUUACUCACUGCCUGCUCACCCCUCUGUGACUGACUCCCAGGCCCUACUGUGUUCUGAGCACCCUUCGGGGUUCCAGGGCCAUUGCCGUGAGCAACACUUGCACAGCUGCUCGGGCAGAUCUGCUGGGCUUGGUGCAAGGUUAAGCCUGAAACCCUCUCCCCAGGCCAUUGGCUCUUCACGCCAACCAUUAACAAGCAACAGAACAUGCCCCGUGGCAGAGCCAGACUCCAGCCCCACCUGUGCCUGGCAUCCUUUCUACCCCUCACUAGCCAUUGAGCAUGUCACUUAAUGUCACCCACCUGCAUUUCUUUAUCUGUAAACCAGGACCCUAUCUUAUGGGUUGUGGGGAGAGUAGUGAUAUAAUGAACGAGUCCCUUCUGCAGCACGGAUUGGCACUUGAUCAGCUUUACAGGUUAGUAAGGAAAGUCACAGAGGCCACAACUGGCCCCUACCUAUUCUUCUGCUGAAAAGGGGGAAUCCACAAGCACCCCGAGUCUGUGCCUCAUGGGGAGCCCUUGGUCUUGCUUCAGUCUUCUAGCAGGUUGCUCCUAGAGGGCCAGUUUCCUUCUCUACAGUCUGGGCAGGGCCAUGCCAAGCUGUGCCCCCGUCUGCCCUACUGUCUUGAGGCACCUAGACCUGCUCUGAAAGCCUGGGGUGGGGGGUUUCACCGUCUCCACGUCAACGUGCUGAGAGUCGUGUCUGCCUGGCUCCCACACGAGGCUGUCGGGCUAACUUGUCAGCUUGCCACAGAACCGCUGGCCACCGGACACCUGGGUGGUGAUCCUGCGGUCCUGGCCAGCCGGUCCCCUUGGGCAGGUGGUUGCUUUUGCCGGUUUGCCUCUUAGAAGAAGAAUAGAAGCAGCAGCUAGAACCUGAAGCCCUCUGCUGUUCCAGACGCUCGGCGGAUGCUUGAGUUGGGGGUGAAACACUCAAAAAGCCUGGAACAGAAUUUGAGGCUAGUGAGCUGGACUGGAAGGGAGUUAUCUAAACGAGGAGCAUCUCAGCCAAGCCAUAGCCAGGCAUCAGCACGUCUUAAGGAUACUGAGGCAUGGCCCCAAGCCCUUUCUGCUUGCUCUCCAGGGUCACCUCCUGGGGUUCCCAAUAACCUAUCGUGGUGGGUUCCGUCAUGCAAUUUGGAAAACAGUUCAUCCUGGAGAAGUCUCCUAACUACAAAAGGGACAUGGUGGCUUCUUUAACUCAGCUCAAGGGAUUCUAUCCCGCCCUCGAUUUGCACAGAUCAGCACAGGUCCUCCAUCUACUGACCAAGGGCAGGGACAUGGCCCUUCUCUUCCAGAAUCAGCUGUGGGAUGGUCUCACCCAUAGAUUUCUGACCACAUUAGAUACUCAAGAAACCAAGGCAACCCAAGUUUCUCCUGGUGGGUUGGUAGAGGGAUGACAAUUGGUCCCUGUCACAGUCACACAAGGACUUGGAGAAACAUGCAAUUGGGGAGGCAGUCAGAGCUGCCCCAAACUUUUAGGAAAUACGUCUCUGCACGCAAACUAUAUAAAUUUCUAGUGUCCCCGGGGCAGAGAAGAGAAUUCUUAAGAGUGCAUCAUCUCCCCCACGCUCUCACAAUCCUCCUUUGUAUUAAGCCGAAGCUGACGUGGCCCCUCGUCUCUGUCCACAUCUGCACUCUGCCUGGCCCUGCGUCUGCGUGCCCAGCCCCUGGUACCGUGUUCAUUCCUCUAUAGCACAGAAAGAUCCACCGCCAGCCAUCCCAGAACGAGAGCCGGAAGGGGACGGGGACAGCUGGUGAUCGGCUCCCUGAGCCUGCAGUCCAUCCUGGGCUGGUCACUUGUAAGCAGGACAAAGACCCUGCAAGACUAAAAUGCACUGUGAGAGGGCCACCUGUUGCCAUGUGCUGUUAUUUUUGGUGAUCUCUGGGAUUUAAUUUUCUACAUAGUGUAUCUACUCCUGGUAUCUGCACCGUCAACUCUUCAAUAGAUAGUCGUAAUGGUUUAGCUAUGAGGUGUCCCCAAAAGCUCAUACGGGAGACAAUGCAAGGGAGUUAAGAGGUGAAAUGAUUGGGUUAUGAGAGCCUUAACCUAAUCGGCACAUUAAUCUCCUGAUAGGGAUUAGCUGGGUUUAACUAGGAAGGUAGGGUGUGGCUGGAGGAGGUGGAUCACUGGGGUGGCCCUUGGGGCUUAUAUUUGUCCCUGGUGAGUACAGCACUCUCUCUCUCUCUCUGCUUCCUAGUGCCAUGUCCUGAGCUGCUCUCCUUCUCCACACCCUUCCGCCAUCAUGUUCUGUCUCACCUGGACCCAGAGCAAUGGAGCUGGCCACCCAUGGACAGAGACCUCGGAAACCAUGAGCCCCCAAAUAAACUUUUUCUCCAAAAAUCAUUCUCGUCAAGUCUUUUGGUCACAGCAGUGUAAAAGUUGACUGAAACAAGCGUUAAGCAUCAGCUCUAUCACACCGACAUCCAGUGAGGACUUCCCGGGAGAGCGGUGCACAGGUCACUCUAGUAGAAGUAGCUCCCUCUCCAUCUCCUGGUGAGUGGAGCUCCCCAGUCACUUGGCACCAGGCUUCUCCAGGUCCAUGUCUCUGGCACCCUGAGGCUGGCCCUUUGAAAAGCAGAUUUUCAGCAGGAUCUGUGGCUUUCUGCUUGUCCUCGAUCGGUCCUGUGGCACUUACAGGACAAGAAACAGCCUCCUCUGUGCCCUGGCAGUUUCAGGCAGAAGUGGUCCUGACCCAUGUGCACAUUUUAACACUUUCUCCAGACCUGGCCACGAAAUGAUCAAACAAAUUGGUUCCUUAGGAAACCGAUUUCCUUUCUGAGCAUCUUCUCUUGCCGUCCAACGUACGUUUUAACCACUUUCCCCCCCACUUCCUUCCCCUCCCGGGGCGCUGAGCUCCGAGGCCGGCCACCGUGCAGGAAAGCAUUACCGCGGUAGCUGGUAGUUGUAGCUUCGCCAAAAGGCCCUGCUUUUGCUCUGGGGCAAACUUGUUAAGAUUGGGAGCUCCGCCAGGGUCAUCUGUCCAAGAGCGCUGUGAAAGCCUCCUGGGAUGUUCAUCUAGCCACGGUCUAAUUAAUUUUCAAACGGACAAAAUAGCUUCUUGGGCCGCAUAACAAGCAUUUUCAUUCAUCUCCGUGAGGCUGGAUUUGGCUCCGAGCAGGGUCACGAGGAACUCUAAUGGCUGCUUCCCUCCUUUGUGUGUCCCCAGGAGAGCUUGCGUUGAUGUCAACAAAGCAAGAUCUAUGCUUCAGGCGAUUGGAGUGGGUUCAGCUUCCAGAGAGCCAAGUUCUUUGACUUCGCUGAGAAGGAAAGGGUAGGGGACCUGGCAUAUGGGAAGACUCUUUGGGCCCCUUUACUUUAUUGGAUUUAGC